rnacentral:lncRNA from 1 species
GAGCUUCUAUGGGAUCAUGGGAUGUGUGCCGAUACUAGCAGAGGAGCUGCAGUCAGGGAUUUGAUUGCAAAAGCUCUAAAUGGUCCACUUGCACCUGCUCAACAAGAGGUUCAUAUGCUUCCUGUUGGAUAUUCCACUACAUACUUGUUCAAGUUCUAUUAUUAUUAUUAUUAUUAUUAUAGGUCCACUUGCACCUGCUCAACAAGAGGUGCAUAUGCUUCCUGUUGGAUAUUCCAGUACAUACUUGUUCAAGUUCUAUUAUUAUUAUUAUUAUUAUUAUUAUUAUUAUUAUUAUUGUU